CAGCUCAUAUGAAAGGAAGAUCAUUAAGUGCUGUAGAAUUCAUGUUUUUUCUACUGUGUUUUAAUUUCUUCAGUGUUCCAUUGAAAAAUGCUGAGUUGUGCUGUUUAAAGCUUGAGCCUAACUGAAUGGCAUUACCUCCAUUGUUCUCACCUUCUUGAAAAUUUUUCACGAGCACAUGCGUUUUGAUGACAACAUGGCAGUUUCCAGCAGAUUAUGUGUUGGCAGACUAACAGAAAGGGGUAAUUGUUAGCAUUGUAGAUGUGGAUCAAACACCAAACUGCUCCCUGCUGUUUGGUAGCAUCCUGGCUGGUUCCCAGCAAAGGACCGACUAUCUUGGACUACCUGGCAUGCUUACUAUAUGUAGAUGCGAUCUGAUGCAACUAACAGUGCUACAUUCUGGUAUAUAUCUGGUCUCUGUAGUGCAGUGAAUACUUGGAUGCCGCUGCUGCGGCUGCUUUUCUUUUAGGCAAUGAUGGGAAGAAGAGUGGGUAGUAAAAUAUGAAGCUUAGGUCAUGUAUUUCCCACUUGAAAAAGUGGUCCAGGUUUCAACUUUUUACUGCUGUAUGUUGGUUGUAAAUGAAAGAAAUUUGUGGUGGGGAAAGUUGCCAUUCCAAACGAUGUUUGUAGUAAAUGGUGGUCGGCACGGCAAGUAUUGUUAUCAAUUAUCAUAUAUAUAAUAUAAUAUAUAUUGUUUGUAAUAGCUCGAUUUUUAGUGGUGUUAGAAAUAGUGAUUCGAGGGGAUUAAAUUCGGCGAAUAAACUCGUAAAUUUUAUUAUUUAAUAUUUACUAGUCAAAUAUGGUUUAAAUUUUUUUUUGAAUUAAUAA